rnacentral:rRNA from 1 species
UUUGGAAACUGUCAAACUUGAGUGCAGAAGGGGAGAGUGGAAUUCCAUGUGUAGCGGUGAAAUGCGUAGAUAUAUGGAGGAACACCGGUGGCGAAAGCGGCUCUCUGGUCUGUAACUGACGCUGAGGCUCGAAAGCGUGGGGAGCGAACAGGAUUAGAUACCCUGGUAGUCCACGCCGUAAACGAUGAGUGCUAGGUGUUGGAUCCUUUCCGGGAUUCAGUGCCGCAGCUAACGCAUUAAGCACUCCGCCUGGGGAGUACGACCGCAAGGUUGAAACUCAAAGGAAUUGACGGGGGCCCGCACAAGCGGUGGAGCAUGUGGUUU